GACAAACGCUGGCGGCGUGCUUAACACAUGCAAGUCGAACGGACGAGUGAGAUAAGUUUACUUAACUCACAAGUUAGUGGCGGACGGGUGAGUAACACGUGGAUAAUCUACCUGCAACACCGGGAUAACGCUGUGAAAACGGUGCUAAUACCGGAUACGUUCCCUUGUGCGCAUGUAUGAGGGAAGAAAGCUCAGGCGGUUGCAGAUGAGUCCGCGGCUGAUUAGCUAGUUGGUGAGGUAAAGGCUCACCAAGGCGAUGAUCAGUAGCCGGCCUGAGAGGGUGAACGGCCACACUGGGACUGAGACACGGCCCAGACUCCUACGGGAGGCAGCAGUGGGGAAUCUUCCGCAAUGGGCGCAAGCCUGACGGAGCAACGCCGCGUGGGUGAAGAAGGCCUUCGGGUUGUAAAGCCCUGUCUUAUGGGAAGAAGUCAGUGACGGUACCAUAGGAGGAAGCCACGGCUAACUACGUG
rnacentral:rRNA from 1 species